rnacentral:rRNA from 1 species
GAUGAACGCUGGCGGCGUGCCUAAUACAUGCAAGUCGAGCGAACGGACGAGAAGCUUGCUUCUCUGAUGUUAGCGGCGGACGGGUGAGUAACACGUGGAUAACCUACCUAUAAGACUGGGAUAACUUCGGGAAACCGGAGCUAAUACCGGAUAAUAUUUUGAACCGCAUGGUUCAAAAGUGAAAGACGGUCUUGCUGUCACUUAUAGAUGGAUCCGCGCUGCAUUAGCUAGUUGGUAAGGUAACGGCUUACCAAGGCAACGAUGCAUAGCCGACCUGAGAGGGUGAUCGGCCACACUGGAACUGAGACACGGUCCAGACUCCUACGGGAGGCAGCAGUAGGGAAUCUUCCGCAAUGGGCGAAAGCCUGACGGAGCAACACCGCGUGAGUGAUGAAGGUCUUCGGAUCGUAAAACUCUGUUAUUAGGAAAGAACAUAUGUGUAAGUAACUGUGCACAUCUUGACGGUACCUAAUCAGAAAGCCACGGCUAACUACGUG